rnacentral:lncRNA from 1 species
GGCUGUACUGGCAGCUGGUGCCUCUGGCAUUGUGGAGAGGAGGUGGGGGAGGGAGCGGGCACCAACAUCCUGGACUCUGGAGCCUGGCAUGAGAGCAGUGCCAUUCCUAGGUUAUAGAUGAGCUAAAUUAGCUGUGACGCUCAUUAGCGGCAGCUCCUAAUUAGUGAAAAUUAAUAUUGGCUUUGAUAAAGACGUCGGCGCCAGCUCUCCAAGGCAGAGGCAUUAUCAUCCUUGUCAGCUGGGCUAACGACUGGACGAGAAAAAUUGAGGCUCAGAGAGGUUGAGGAACUUGCCCUGGGACCUCUGGAUACCAGGAUUUGGGCCCAGGCAGCCUGACUCAAGAGCCAUGAUCCUGACUUUGGUAUUAUCCUGCCCUUCCCUUCAACCUCACCCCCAAAAGGGGCACUCUGGAUGCCAGCCCCAUCGUAUACCAGCACGUAACAUCAUAUCCGGCACACAAACCUGUACUUCCAUUUACAGCCCCUGAGUAAGUCCAGGACAAAGUCUCCAGGCUCUGUAUUCCAGAACACCGCCUCUCCAGUAGGGAAGACUCCGGGAGCAUCCUGCCUUCCCAGGCGGGAAUGGAGGCCAGGAGGCUUUGCCCAGACCUUGACUGUGCUAUUGCCAAGUGACCAGCUCUGGGGCCUGGCUCCUCUGCCACUUGGGAGAGGACUCGGCAGAUGGGCUUCCCUUCACCCCAGUCCCUGCUCCCCAGCCAGAGACCCUGAGUUCCAGCCCAGGGUAAUGAGGGGAAGUAACAGAUACACCUACUUUUAAUCCAAAUAAAGGAAAAAUGUUUGCCACCAUGGAGUUUAUAAAAAUAACAAUGCAUUAUUCGGGUAUUAAUAACAAUAAAGAUGUCAAA